GUCUUUGGAUCCAGAGAAGCGGCUGGGGACCCCGGAGCCCUGGUGCUUGUCUGAGUCUGAGUAGUAAGACAGCAGAUACCGGGGAGGGCUCCCUGGCUUCUGCU